rnacentral:sRNA from 1 species
ACAAAAAUUUGUAAAAAUAUAUUUACAUAAAAGCGGUAUAAGAAAAUUAUUUACUAAUUGACAAAGAUGAUCAAGGAUCAGAAUAAUAUAGUUCGUGAGUGUGGGCCUUUAAUAUUGCAAAAAAUCAAGUCGAUAACUUUUCUUUGGAUGGGUCAAAAACAUGAUCUCUUGAAAGGACUUCUCAAGUUCCAGUGCCUAAAAUUUAUAUUUAAAUUGGAAAAUUCAAAUGAUAUUGAAAACACACUGCGGCCAACAAGAUGGCAAAAAAACCCCCAGACGCACUUAUUUUUAUACACGGAUUGAAGAAGCCAUAUUAUGUGGGUACAUAAGAGAUGGUCGACCAAGUUGUGUAACAUUAGAGCCAAUUAUACAUUCAGCUAGAAACUAAGAAGUUGUAGAUAGAUAAUAACUACAAGAUAAUGUGAUAAUGGCUUAACUAUAACAAGUGCAACAACCAUAAGCCAUAAUUUCUAGCAAAAGUGUGACAAACUCAAAGAAAUUUGGAUUGGUUCCAUCAAAAGAGAUUAAAAAAGAUCAAAGAUGACGAGAAAUUUCCGCAAUAUACAUAUAGCCUUCUUAAAUUUCACAAAGUUAUAUCCUAUUUCUUUAAUUUUAUUUUUCUCUAUCCUUAUUAUUCUAACCAAAUACUAAUU